AUUGAACGCUGGCGGCAGGCCUAACACAUGCAAGUCGAACGAGUGGCGGACGGGUGAGUAAUGUCUGGGAACCUGCCUGAUGGAGGGGGAUAACUACUGGAAACGGUAGCUAAUACCGCAUACCAUCGGAUGUGCCCAGAUGGGAUUAGCUAGUAGGUGGGGUAAAGGCUCACCUAGGCGACGAUCCCUAGCUGGCCUGAGAGGAUGACCAGCCACACUGGAACUGAGACACGGCCCAGACUCCUACGGGAGGCAGCAGUGGGGAAUCUUGGACAAUGGGCGCAAGCCUGAUGCAGCAAUGCCGCGUGUAUGAAGAAGGCUUUCGGGUUGUAAAGUUCUUUCAGUGGGGAGGCGUUACCCGCCGAGGAAGCAACGGCUAACUCCGUGCCAGCCGCCGCGGUAAUUC
rnacentral:rRNA from 1 species